GACGAACGCUGGCGGCGUGCUUAACACAUGCAAGUCGAACGGAAAGGCCCUGCUUUUGUGGGGUGCUCGAUUGGCGAACGGGUGAGUAACACGUGAGUAACCUGCCCUUGACUUUGGGAUAACUUCAGGAAACUGGGGCUAAUACCGGAUAUGAGCUCCUGCUGCAUGGUGGGGGUUGGAAAGUUUCGGCGGUUGUGGAUGGACUCGCGGCUUAUCAGCUUGUUGGUGGGGUAGUGGCUUACCAAGGCUUUGACGGGUAGCCGGCCUGAGAGGGUGACCGGCCACAUUGGGACUGAGAUACGGCCCAGACUCCUACGGGAGGCAGCAGUGGGGAAUAUUGCACAAUGGGCGGAAGCCUGAUGCAGCAACGCCGCGUGCGGGAUGACGGCCUUCGGGUUGUAAACCGCUUUCGCCUGUGACGAAGCGUGAGUGACGGUAAUGGGUAAAGAAGCACCGGCUAACUACGUG
rnacentral:rRNA from 1 species